CCUACGGGAGGCAGCAGUGGGGAAUAUUGCACAAUGGGGGAAACCCUGAUGCAGCGACGCCGCGUGAGUGAAGAAGUAAUUCGUUAUGUAAAGCUCUAUCAGCAGGGCAGAAAAUGACGGUACCUGAGUAAGAAGCCCCGGCUAACUACGUGCCAGCAGCCGCGGUACUACGUAGGGGGCAAGCGUUAUCCGGAUUUACUGGGUGUAAAGGGAGCGUAGACGGCAGUGCAAGUCUGGAGUGAAAGGCGGGGGCUCAACCCCCGGACUGCUCUGGAAACUGUACGGCUGGAGUGCAGGAGAGGUAAGUGGAAUUCCUAGUGGAGCGGUGAAAUGCGUAGAUAGUAGGAGGAACACCAGUGGCGAAGGCGGCUUACUGGACUGUAACUGACGUUGAGGCUCGAAAGCGUGGGGAGCAAACAGGAUUAGAUACCCGGGUAGUC
rnacentral:rRNA from 1 species